rnacentral:rRNA from 1 species
UACGUAGGGUGCAAGCGUUGUCCGGAAUUAUUGGGCGUAAAGAGCUCGUAGGCGGUUUGUCGCGUCGGCUGUGAAAACUCGGGGCUCAACCCCGAGCCUGCAGUCGAUACGGGCAAACUCGAGUGUGGUAGGGGAGACUGGAAUUCCUGGUGUAGCGGUGAAAUGCGCAGAUAUCAGGAGGAACACCGAUGGCGAAGGCAGGUCUCUGGGCCAUUACUGACGCUGAGAAGCGAAAGCAUGGGGAGCGAACAGG